AAUAAGUACAGUUUUACACUAUUCACGUUCAACGUUUGACCGUCCAUCUUAUUUGAAAAUUUUGUGAAAAAAUUAAAAACAUUUAGUCACACAUAAAGUACUAUUUAUGUUUUAUCAUCUAAUAGCAAUAAAAAUACUAAUCAUAAAAAAUUUUCAAAUAAGAUGGACGGUCAAACGUUGAACGUAAAUAGUGUAAAACUGCACUUAUU
rnacentral:pre_miRNA from 1 species